rnacentral:sRNA from 1 species
GCAUUAAGACGGCAUUAAAGAUUCCAAAGUAUGAAUCAUCUCGUCCAGUUUCGCUGGAUCGAGUGGCUCCUGCCAUCUCUGUUUGACGCCUCCCUGUUUUGACUUUCACGAGCCGCCUCUGGCGGCUCUUUUUUU